UGGGUAACAAGGCCACUGAGUAACGAGGCCGGCAGGUAACGAGGCUGGAGAGUAACAAGGCCCAGGGGUAGAGAGGCUGGCAGGUAGCGAGGCCGGAGUGUAAUGAGGCCGGCAGGUAACGAGGUGGGGAGGUAGAGAGGCCAGCAGGUAGAGGCCGGUGGGUAACGAGGCCGCUGAGUAAUGAGGCCGGCAGGUAACGAGGCCGGAGCAUAACGAGGCCGGCAGGUAACGAGGUGGGGAGGUAGAGGCCGGUGGGUAACGAGGCCGUCAGGUAACGAGGCCGGCAAGUAGAGAGGCCGGCAGCCUUCGGCCUCGGCACCGGGACCCCGGAGGAGGAAGAGGAGGAGGAGGAGGAAGAGCGAAGGCCACCGCGUGCCGCGGGCGAUGCUCGGCGCGCGGGGGUGACCCCCACGGCACCGGCAUGCCCCCGGGGGCCCCGCGGCCAAGCCCCGAGCCCCCCCCCGCCGCCGCCGCCUCCGCCUCCGCCGCGGCGAUGGCCGAGCACGCGGAGCUGCUGGCGGAGAUGCCGGCGGUGAGCAGGAUGAGCGCGGCCGAGCGCCUGAAGCACGCCCAGAAGCGCCGCGCGCAGCAGCUCAAGGCCUGGGCGCAGCUGGAGAAGGAGGCGCGGGGCGGCGGCGACGGCGGCGGCAGCGGGGCGAGGAGGAGGAGGAGGAGGAAGAGCGACGGCGACGACGGCGAGGGUGAGGGCGGCGCGGAGAAGCGCGUGAGGUUCCCCGCCAACGUCCGGCUGCUGGAGGCCGGCGCCGGCGUCAACGCCCGCGACGCCGAGCUCUGGACGCCGCUGCACGCCGCCGCCACCUGCGGCCACCGGCACCUGGUGGAGCUGCUGGUGGCGCGGUGAGCGCGGGGCGGGCGGCGUGGCCCCCCCGUGUCCCUACAUCCCCGUGUCCUUGUGUCCCCGUGUCCCCAUGUCCCCGUGUCCCCAUGUCCCCGUGUCCCCAUGUCCUUGUGUCCACGCGUCCCCGUGUCUCAUCUCCCCGUGUCGCUGUGUCCUUGCAGUGUCCCCAUGUCCCUGUGCCUCGUGUCCCCAUGUCCCUACAUCCCCAUGUCCUCGUGUGCCCAUGUCCCCGUGUCCUCAUGUCCCCGUGCCCCUGCAUCUUUUUGUCCUCAUGUCCUCGUGUCCUCACAGCAUUCCCAUGUCCCGUUUUGCGUCCCCAUGUCCCCAUGUCCCCACGUCUCAUGUCCCCGUGUCCUCAUGUCCAUGCGCCCCCACGUCUCACAUUCCCAUGUCCCCGUGUCCUCACAGUGUCCCCGUGUCCUCAUGUCCCCAUGUCUCACACCCCCGUGUCUCACUUUCCCAUGUCCUUGUGGUGUCCCCAUGUCCCUGUGUCCCCACGUCCCCACCUCUCACGUCCCCAUGUCCCUGAGUCCCCGUGUCCCCAUGUCCUUGUGGCAUCCCCCUUUCCCCACGUCCCCGCGCUUCAUGUCCCCAUGUCCUCGUGUCCCUGCAUCCCCACGUCCCCACGUCCCUGUGGUGUCCCCAUGUCCCUGUGGUGUCCCCACGUCCCUGUGGUGUCCCCAUGUCCCUGUGGUGUCCCCACGUCCCUGUGGUGUCCCUAUGUCCCCCUGUACCCACGUCACCACGCCUCACGUCUCUGUACCAUCCCCGUGGCACCCCCGUUUCGCCACGUCCCCACGUCCCCACAUCUCCCAGCCCCAUGUCCCUCUGUCCCCACGUCCCCACGUCCCACAGCCCCGCGCCCCCACGCCUUACGCCACCCCGCUCCCGUCCCCGCCGCAGCGGCGCCAA
ensembl:lncRNA